rnacentral:lncRNA from 1 species
UUUUUUUUUUUUUGGCAUUUCUGGGGUAUUGGUUAUUAUUUAUUGUCUUUCAUUUCUUGUCUUCUUUAUUUGGGUCCUCUCUUCUUGGUGUGGUGAGCCAUAGAUAUGUCAAUUUUCUUUACCCUUUCAAAGAACCAGCUCUUGGUUUUGUUGACUUUUUUCCCCAUCUUUUUGUAAUCUCUAUUUUUAUUUAUUUAUUUAUUUGCUUUUUAGGGCUGCACCCAAGGCAUAUCGAGGUUCCCAGGCAAGGGGUCUAAUCGGGGCUACAGCUGCCAGCCUACACCAGAGCCACAGCAACACAGGAUCUGAGCUGUCCGUGUAUGCUACCUACACCACAGCUCAUGGCAAUGCCAGAUCCCCGACCCACUAAGCAGGGCUAGGGAUCAAACCCACAUCCUCAUGGAUACUAGCUGAAUUUGUUUCUGCUGCACCAAGAAGGGAAGUCCCUGUAAUCUCUAUUUUAUUUCCUACCUGAUUGAUAUUUUCUUCCUUCUGCCGACUUCAGAUUUUGUUUGUUCUUCUUUUUUCUAAUUCUUUUAGAUGGUAGGUUAGGUUUUUUAUUUGACAUUUCUCUUACUUUCUGAGGAAGGCCUGUAUCACUAAGAAAUUCCAUCUAAGAAAUGCUUUUGCUACAUCCCACAGCCUGUUAUUGUUGUGUUUUCUUUCUUUUCUUUGGGGGGGGNNNNNNNNNNNNNNNNNNNNNNNNNNNNUGUCUUUUUAGGGCCACACCUGUGGCAUAUGGAGCCCAAGAAAUAGCAAAAAGACAAAAAAAAAAAAAAAAAAAAAAAAAAAAAAAGAUCAUCUAUAAAAAGUUCACUAAUGGAGUACAUAAAACACUAACUAGUUUCACUGCCUUAUGCGCAAUCCUUCCUCUAAAUACAAUAAAGACACGAUUUUAAUCUCUAUAGUUUAGUAGUUUUUUCAAAAAAAUUUUAAUUUUCUUCUACAAGUGUACUACUUAUUCCUCAGAGGCUGGUAAGAUGUUGAUGGGAGAUAUAGGGGCACUGUAAUCAAAAAGAGAAAUUAGCUAUAAAGUUUUAUAAUACUAAGUGACUACAAAAUGUGCUGAAAACUGCCACAUUUACCUUGAAACAACCAGAAGAGCAUGUACUGAGUUUUAUGAUUCUAAUUUUCUAAAGAAAUUAUUUUCCACAUAACAAGACUUAAAUAAACAUACUCUGUGGGGAGGGUGAAGGGAGAGCGUGUACUGCUUUAUCUGGUGCUCACUUGGAGGAAAACUGACCUAGCCUAAGCCUGAAGGGAAGAAAAAACUAACUACUGGCCCAACAAAAACACCCAUCUAGGACAGUAUGGAGGCCUCCAUGCUGGCCCUAUACUCCCUGCUGCAAGUAAUAGCAUGUAUUACUACUCAGAGGAUAAGUCUCAAGAUACAAAAAGAAAAGGCAAAACAGGUACUGUAAUUCAGGUCACUUCAUUCACUGUGAUGGUAACAGGCUUGCCUUAGCAAUUCUGCACUGUAACAUCUAUAGAAACUUAUAAAAAUAUACACAACAGACUCAGUUUUACCAGUGUUAUCAUAAGUGCAAUUUAAAACCCACAAUGAGAUAUGGAUACUAUAAAAUGUUUAAAAUCAAAGUGUGGGUCAGGAUGUGAAGCAACUAGAACAUUCACAUAAUACUGGUGGAAAAUAUAAAAUGUUCCAACCCCUUUGGAAAAGUUUGGCAGUUUUCUUAUAAAACCUAUCAAGUGACCGAAGAGAAAUGAAAGUUUAGGUCCACAGGAAGACUUCCGCAAGCACAGCAGCUUCAUUCCUAAGAGCCAAAACCAGAAAUCAGCCUUAACAGGUGAAGGCAUAAACAAAGUGUGGAAGAGCCCUAAUGGGAUAUACUUGGCACUUUUUAAAAUAAAAUUCAUGAACGAAUGAUAUAUACAAUAACGUGAACCUCAGAAAAAUGAUACAAGCAAAAGAAGCUGGACACAAGUAUCUACUCAAUGAGAUUCCAUUUAUAUAAAAUUCUAUCAAAAGGCAAAAUUCCUCAUAUAGUGACAGAAUGCAGAUCAGUAAUUGCCUGGGGCCAGAAACUGGGCAGGCGGGGGUGGGGGGGGUGUUACUGUAAAGAAGCAUGUGAAGUAAUGGAAACAGUCUCUAUCUUGACUGCCCUGGUUGUUAAGUGUGUAUAUGCUCAUCAUUUAUAAAAUGGGUGCAUUUUACCAUGUAAAAAAUACAUCUCAAUAAAACUGCUUUUCAGAAGAAAACAAAAAUCAGUAACAGAAAAAUCUAAUCUACAAUAACUAAAGUCAUAUAGUGGCUACUCCUGGGGCAGGGAGAUUGGUAAUAUUCAAGAAGGGACAGGAACAGGGACCUCAGCAGUGGUUAGAGAAGUUGAGUUCAUUUUCUGAUACUUGGAUGACCUUAUGAUUUGUGAACUUUUCUGUAUGCAUGUGAUUCUUCAAUAAAAAGUCAUUUUUAAAUAGUAAAAUUAACUUAGUUUUAUGAAGAUACUCUGUAAAAUGUGCCAACACAAACUCUAAACAACAUGAGGAAAAAGGUCUACCAGGUAAAUAUACUGUUAGGAUACAACUUAUAUAUGAAUCUAAAAAAUACAACCAACUAGUGAAUAUAAUCAAAAAAACAAAAAACAAAACAAAAACAAAAAAUGAAAAAAGGAGUUCCCAUCGUGGCUCAGUGGUUAACAAACCUGACUAGCAUCCAUGAGGAAGCAGGUUUGAUCCCUGGCCUCACUCAGUAGGUUAAGGAUCCAGCGUUGCCGUGAGCUGUGGUGUAGGUCGCAGACUCGGCUCAGAUCCUGCAUUGCUGUGGCUGCAGCAUAGGCCGGCAGCUACAGCUCUAAUUCGACCCCUCCCUGGGAACCUCCAUGUUGCUGGUGUGGCCCUAAAAGACAAAAAAAAAAAGUCUCACAGAAAUGGAGAGCAAACUAGUAGUUAUCAGUUAGAGGAGGUGGAGGCAUGGAAGGUACAAUACAAACUACCGGGUGUAUAAGACAGGCUACAAAAAGUCCCCAUCAGGGCAGAGUGGAACCAAGAGGUUGUGAGUUCCCACCAUGGUGCAGUGGAAACGAAUCCGACUAGGAACCAUGAGGCUGCGCAUUCGAUCCCUGGCCUCU